rnacentral:misc_RNA from 1 species
GAUGAAGAACGUAGUGAAAUGCGAUAAGUAAUGCGAAUUGCAGAAUUUCCGUGAGUCAUCGAAUCUUUGAACGCACAUUGCGCCCACUGGUAUUCCGGUGGGCAUGCCUGUUCGAGCGUCAUUAUCCUCCCUCAAACCCCGGGUUUGGUGUUGGACCCAAGUUGUGUGAACAACUGGUCUUAAAGACAAUGACGGCGUCCGUGGGACCCUCGGUGCAACGAGCUUUUAGGAGCACGCAUCGAGUUGCAAGGACCUUCCGGGCCGGUCUCCUUUACUAUUUUACAAGGUUGACCUCGGAUCAGGUAGGAAUACCCGCUGAACUUAAGCAUAUCAAAAGCGGAGGA